AAGAUCGGGUCCCUCUGGACCUUCCU
rnacentral:piRNA from 1 species